GAGGGUAUAGCCCAGUGGUAGAGUGCAUGCUUAGCGUGCACGAGGUCCUGGGUUCGAUCCCCAGAACCUCCA
rnacentral:tRNA from 1 species